GACGAACGCUGGCGGCGUGCUUAACACAUGCAAGUCGAACGGAAAGGCCCUGCUUGCCGGGUGCUCGAGUGGCGAACGGGUGAGUAACACGUGGGUGAUCUGCCCCUUAUUUUGGGAUAAGCCUGGGAAACUGGGUCUAAUACUGGAUAGGACCAUGCAGUAGGUGGUGUGGUGGAAAGAUUAGUUUCGGUAAGGGAUGAGCUCGCGGCCUAUCAGCUUGUUGGUGGGGUAAUGGCCUACCAAGGCGUCGACGGGUAGCCGGCCUGAGAGGGUGGACGGCCACAUUGGGACUGAGAUACGGCCCAGACUCCUACGGGAGGCAGCAGUGGGGAAUAUUGCACAAUGGGCGCAAGCCUGAUGCAGCGACGCCGCGUGGGGGAUGACGGCCUUCGGGUUGUAAACUCCUUUCAGCCAUGACGAAGCCCUUGUGGUGACGGUAGUGGUAGAAGAAGCACCGGCUAACUACGUG
rnacentral:rRNA from 1 species